rnacentral:rRNA from 1 species
CCCUUAGAUGUUCUGGGCCGCACGCGCGCUACACUGAUGCACUCAACGAGUCUCCACCUUGACCGAAAGGUCCGGGAAACCUUCGAACUUGCAUCGUGAUGGGGAUAGAUUAUUGCAACUAUUAAUCUUCAACGAGGAAUACCUAGUAGGCGCAUGUCAUCAGCGUGCGUCGAUUACGUCCCUGCCCUUUGUACACACCGCCCGUCGCUCCUACCGAUUGAAUGGUCCGGUGAAGCCUCCGGAUUGGCGCGCACCUCGGUGCCGCCGAGAAGUUGGCUAAACCUUACCAUUUAGAGGAAGGUGAAGUCGUAACA